rnacentral:rRNA from 1 species
CUAAGUGAGCUACUUUAAAGCAGCUAUUAGAGCUAACCCGUCUCUGUCGCAAAAGAGUGGGGUGACUUUAAAGUAGAGGUGAUAGACCUACCGAACUUAGAGAUAGCUGGUUUUUUAAGAAAAGAAUUUUAGUUCAGCCCCAAGCCUUUCGUUAAGCAAAAAACCUUCUUAGGCCUGGGAGUCAUUCACAUAGGGCACAGCCUAUUUGAAACAGGAUACAACCUAGAAUAUAGGGUAAAA